AGAGUUUGAUCCUGGCUCAGGACGAACGCUGGCGGCGGGCCUAAUACAUGCAAGUCGAACGCAGUCGACCUUCGGGUCAUAUGACUGAGUGGCGAACGGGUGAGUAACACGUGAGAAACCUGCCCCGAAGACUGGAAUAACCCGAGGAAACUCGGGCUAAUACCGGAUGUCCCCAGAUGGCCGCAUGGCCGACUGAGGAAAUGCUCCGGCGCUUUGGGAGGGUCUCGCGGCCUAUCAGCUUGUUGGUGAGGUAACGGCUCACCAAGGCUUCGACGGGUAGCUGGUCUGAGAGGACGAUCAGCCACACUGGGACUGAGAUACGGCCCAGACUCCUACGGGAGGCAGCAGUAGGGAAUCUUGCGCAAUGGGCGAAAGCCUGACGCAGCCACGCCGCGUGAGUGAUGAAGGCCUUCGGGUCGUAAAGCUCUUUCAGCAGGGACGAAAAUGACGGUACCUGCAGAAGAAGCCCCGGCCAACUACGUGCCAGCAGCCGCGGUAACACGUAGGGGGCAAGCGUUGUCCGGAUUUAUUGGGCGUAAAGGGCUCGUAGGCUGUUCAGUAAGUCAGGUGUGAAAACUCGAGGCUCAACCUCGAGAUGCCACUUGAUACUGCUGUGACUAGAGUUCGGUAGAGGAGUGUGGAAUUCCUAGUGUAGCGGUGAAAUGCGCAGAUAUUAGGAGGAACACCAACAGCGAAGGCAGCACUCUGGGCCGGUACUGACGCUGAGGAGCGAAAGCGUGGGGAGCGAACAGGAUUAGAUACCCUGGUAGUCCACGCCGUAAACGGUGGGCACUAGAUGUGGGAUCCAGUCAACG
rnacentral:rRNA from 1 species